rnacentral:misc_RNA from 1 species
GAAGGCUCUAAUUAAAAUACUUCUACGAGCACAGUUUGUUCUACGACGUCAAUGGCUCCGCAUGGCCCCUGGGUAUUUCUUCUAAUUGCUAUAGUUACACCUCCAAACUUCGCUGCUGAAAAGAAGCAAUUUUUCUCUUCUGCGUACAUCUCGAACAAGGCGGUGGGAGAUCCGGCUUGCCAGCAAGGGCCGGGAGAGCCAGCUUGCUUCGCUCGACCAAGCCCAGGAAGCCGCCAAGCCAGUGAAGCUCUGAACUUGAGGCCCCACCCGCUAUCUCAGAUACCUUGUAGAGUAAGUCUACAGUUGUAGGUAGCAAGCGAUGGUUUACGACUCCUUGGCAGAAAUCACUGAAUGUCACCUAUGCAAAUAUUUUACGGAACAUGUCCGGACCUUGGCAGUUCAUGACAAAUGGAACUAUUUAUUUGCACUCGAGCAGCAUAAAGUACACGAAUGUAACCUGUAUUCAAGCGAAAACUGUAGAGAAGAAUGAAACGGCGCGAACAUUCACACAUGAAGUGAAUGUCGGCAUGGAAUAUAACGGUAACAAGAACUGAUACAUAUUAUGUUACCAACUACACGUUUCUGCUUACUACUCGGCAUUGUGCUGUAGUGGUGAAAAAUAAGCAGAAAUUGAACGAGGCUGCAGUUCAAACCAUGGAACUAUGGGUAAACAAUCGGUUUUCGAAGAAUAUCAUGCCCUGUGAAGCACAAUUCAGGGAAGUUUGCAACUGCGCAAGGAAUCGCACAUGCUCUUUAAACAUUGUCCCGGGCAAGAUGCGAAUUUUCAAAAAUAUCCAAGUACGUUUUCGGGACAGUGAAUUGCGGGAAGUGUUGGCAACACGC